AGCCACGUUCCUUACAUCAUCCGCCCGCAGUCGCGCUCCUUCCAUCCUCCGCCCUCGUUCCGCCGCCCUCCUUCCAUUUUGAGCUUUGACGGCGUGAAUCCACAACGAUCCCUUCCAUCAUCGCGGAUCCCGUGCUCCCUCCCGCGCUCCCUCAGCGCCCGCCCGUGGAUCCCCGACGACGUCAAUGACUCCACGAUUAAGGGGAUCCGAGGCCACCAUAAACGCGCUCCUCCCCCACGACGUCGAUGGCGCGCGUGUUGAGGGCGUGGGGAGGAGGUGCACGGCUGCCAUCAACGCUCUCCUACACCCAGAUCUGCGCGCGUCUGCCCUGGACUUCCAUGGACGGCUGUCCACGCCCACCAUCGGCUCACCAUGGAUCACGCCCCAGCCGCGUCCGCCCUGGACUGCCAUGGACGGCGCUGUGCCACAUUUGGAAUUAAUAAACUAGCCACUAUUGUUGAUACCAUCUUGGAAUUAAUAUUUUAUCUACAUUUAAUAGUGUGGUUUAUGCUCUUUCAUUCUGUUAUAUGGCUGCGACGUCUAUGAGAUCCUGAUAUCCAUGACCAUGAGUAACACCAUCAAUUACAUGAUAUGUCAAAUUAAUUCACUAUUUACUCCCAUUUUGAUUUUUUCACUCUAAACAUAUUUUUGAAUGUGGCCAAAGAGAGUGCUGAUGUCAUCAUUAUUGAUGACAGCUUCUCCGCUAUUGUCGUCACUGUUGCAAGAUGGGGUCGAUCAGUAUACAUCAACAUUCAGAAGUUUGUGCAGUUUCAGCUCACUGUCAAUGUGGGAGUGCUCCUCUUACCGCUGCGCAAUUGCUCUGGGUCAACCUGAUCAUGGAUACACUGGGUGCACUGGCGUUGGCUAGAGAAUCCGUCCCCAACCCCAAACGAUGAACUGAUGAAGAGAACACCUGUUGGAAGGAAAGGGAACUUCAUCAGUAACGUUACAUGGAGAAACACCCUAGGACAGGACUUCUACCAGUUCCUCGAAACAUCCCAUGUAUAUUGGAUCGGAUUGAAAAAAUUAACUUGAAUACAUAGGGAAAGUGGCUAUUUGGAAUCAAGGGCGAUAACUCUGAUCUACUCUUGAACACACUGAUCUUCACUGCUUCAUAUUCUGCCAGCUGGAGAGGAUGAUCACGAUAGGAGAGCUGAUGAUCUCAAGAUAUUCUAUAAGGCCUAUGCUACAGAAGUACUUUCAGAUGGAAUUGUGGAUGAUAAGAAGAAAUUUACAGACAGAAGCUUCAGCAGUUUGUAGCUGAUGGAGAGCCGAGCAAGAAGGAAGUGGAAGCUCUGAUGGCAUUCCAAGUGCGUCUUUGCAUCCCUCAAGAAACUGUGGACGCACAUACUGAGAUUUGUGGGCAACUGUUCGAAAAGGUUGUCAAGUUCUUUAACCAGUAUUUGUGGGCAACUGUUCGAAAAGGUGACACUAAAUCUGUAUAAGUGCUCUUACAGUUGCGUGCUCCAUAUCUUGAUCACGUUCUUUAACCAGUUUCCAGUCUUCAGUUCUGUGGGAAGGACUAUACUGCUACAACCAAAAAGAAAAACAUAUGAUAGAAGAAUCUAAAUGUUGGAUGGUUCUUGACAGCUCACAAAACCUAUUGCCUCCAGAUGAGCUCCGUAAACGGUUUGAGCAAGAAGUUACCACACAUGCUGCCAUCUGAAAAGGCAUUUUCAGCUGCUGUAUCUGCUCUUGGCAUCUACAACAAAGACAGGAUAGUAGUUUAUGAUGGAAAGGGGCUGUUCAGUGCUGCUCAUGUUUGGUGGUGGGGAGGACUGCACAGUUCGGAUCUGGAGCAAAACAGGCGAGCUCUAGAGUGAAUGAAGGACGUCGUCUUUGGAAGUCAGACAUCACCUAGAGCUAGUGUGUCCAUUCUUGACAUGUUUCUCUUAGUGAUAGGUGGAUACUGUCUAGCUAGGAACAGAGUAUUGAGGGAUUGAUGGACGCAUGCAUCUUCAAUUCCUGUGUGUUGUAUUACUACUGGUACAAUCUCCAAUUCUUGUGAACUUAUGUAUUUGGACUGUGAAUUUGUGAUAUGAACAUAUAUCCAUAUGUUUGAAAUCUGUAUUGUAUGUGAUAU